CCUCAACAUUGUUUUUACUUUCCACAUUUUUUACACAGUGGCUACUUUUUUCAGUGAGGGUGUCUGCAUUGUCUGGAAAAUCUGUUUCCUUCAGUUUGACAUUUCCAUGGUCUCCCUGAAAAGCUUCAGACGGCUGUGACACUCUCUUGGGGAUCUUGCGCCAAAUGCAAUUUUUCACCGAUGGGUUGAUGUCUCUCCACAUCAGAAUCAAGAUAGCUCGGGUCAGAAGCAUCACCAGGUGUGUAAGCUGAAUACAAAUGUGUCCCAUACAUUGAAUGAUAGGAGUCUUCUUCACUGAACUCUCUUUGUCUAACUUCCUGUCUAGUAGUUAUUGUUUCUGCUUGAAGAUUUUCUGUCUGCACAUUUUGCUCAACUUCCUUUGUAAGUUGGUGGAAUGGUUCAAUUGCAGACUGCUCAGAAUUCUCUUUUUUACGUUGUCUAUUUGAGCCUAGCUUUCUCCUGCUUGACUUGUGAUAAGUUCCCAAAGGGCUAUGUUCUUCAUUUGACAACCCGAUGAAAGAUUCACCAAUCUCUUCUGCUUGAUCUCCUUCACUCAAUUCCUCUGGCAUUUCAACAUGUGGUGCCACCCUCCGACGAGAGCCAAUUCUCUUUUUUCCAGUAGGACCAGGCAUUAUGUGCCUUCCUACAUACAAAUACAGCACAAACAUGUGAAUAAAUGUAGGAUACAUGCCAACUCAUUUUAAACAUUAUCCUAAAUGUCCAGAAUAUUUCAUUCCUUGUACAAGUUCACAGUAAAUAUACUUACCCUCAUGUGUGCCUGUGUCAAGUAGUCAGCUUUUGAGCUAUGAAAGCAGUCCAGACCAGAGGGGAAGUAAAUCAUACACGGGGAGGUGUGUCCUUUACAGCAAGCUUCCUGUGUGGCUUAUACUUGAAGGAUGAUUAAUCUUUUAGAUUUUGUGUUGUACUUUAAUACAAACAUGCUAAAUCUAAAAUAAGGCUCAACAAUGUCUGACUUAGGAAAAAACUUUUAUUGAUGAAACGACUCACCAUCAGCAAAGUUGUCAAGAGCUCAAAAGGGAAAUGUUUUGCUUUGAAGAUGCAACUGAAAAACAGUUGCUGCUUUAGCUAACAAACCUUGUCAAAUCAACAAACAAACCUUCCAUCACUAAUUAACAGUGAAAUUUAAAAAAAAACUUUUAAUUAAAUUGGAUAGCAGGAGAAUUUAAGAUCAUAACCUACCAAACACCCAACCAAUCAUGCUGAAUGAACAAACAAAAAAAACAAGGGGAAAAAAAAAAAUUACUGUCAAAAACUGACUGUAAUGACAGUUACGAGACAACCCGAACACCACAUUGAGUUGUUAAGUAACAACUAAAAAGAUAGCAUGACUAUAAAAAAAAUAGGAGUUCCCACACACACAAGCCAUUUUGUGAGGUCCUCAUUUCCUGUCAUUAGAACGAGAGCGGCUGCAGAGGAAAGAGCAGAAACAAUAGCACGAUUAAGCAACAAGUAAGAUUUCAGCGAGAGCAUAUUACUAACAUGACAAUAGUGACACAGACCUCCUUGACCGCGAGAAUGAUCUUGAGCGCUUACGGGUCUUGUCUCUGGAAGUAGACCGAUAUCUGCGUUUGUCUCGCGAAAGAGACCUGGAGGGAAAAAUUAUAUUUAAUUCAUGAAUGUGUUUAAAGAUUAAAAAAACAAAAAAAACAUGUUCAAGUUUGUACCUGCUGCGACUGCGGCUCAGGCUUCUCCUCCGAGGGGAUCUAGAAUGUAGGUGAAAUCGGGGGGGAAAUGUUUUAAGCAGGAAUAAAGUGUUUGAGGAAAAUGGAAAACUGGAUCAUCUUGAUGGAAAUGCCCAAUUUGAGUUUUUUUGUUAAAUGUGAUCUUGUUGUUGUAACAAAUGAUUGUGCCAAUUCAAAUAUCAUUGACAAGAGCGAUGCUCAACCGUGGAACUCACUUGUGGGGGGGGGGUCUAAUCUGGUAAAUGGUUAAGCGGUAUAUGCAUAUUUAUAACUACAAUGUACAAUAUUCUCCGAGUGUCACUAGGUUGAUAUUGUGUAUUUGUAUUAAAGUACAUAGUAAAGUAAAUCAGGAAACGAAAAGGGGACGCGCGUUUGUUUUAAGCCGUUUCCUGGCACAAAAGAAGCAUUGCUGCAAACCAGAUAAGUAUUGAUAGACAAUUGUGAACUAAUUUUGAGACAGAGAAGGAAACCUACCCAAAUAUUGCAAGGUCACCCUAAAUGGCCAGUUGUUGCGCCUUGAAAUCUAUCAAGUUGCCUACACAGGCAGCUGAAUGAAGUACAUUCAAAUAAAGACCAGACCACACCAGAAAGCGCGCCUAAUAUUUUGUUGCUCGACUGGGAUGCUUUUAGAUGCUUUAAACUACACACCUGUCAAGUUUAACAUGUGAGUUUUGAAAUUGAAAAAACUCAUAACUAUAAAGAGCAUGAUAAAAGCAACUUACUAUUUUGGGGGGAGUUUUUGGACAAGAAAGAAAUGGCGCACGGUAGCCCUGGUGAGGGAGGUGAAAUUGCAGAGAGGAUCUGCCACAUGCUGCAAAUGUUGCCGAUAAGAAGUUGCUUGUUUGCUGGCUGCAGGGGACGGACGGCUGUGGAGUUUCCCUGUCUUUAUGAGGGGGGCGGAGGGGUGUAAGCCAAUGGCCGCUCCCGUCGAUACUGAGGCGAAUAGUACGAGUAAACACGGCGAUCGGUUGAUAACGUGAGGUGGGCCGCUGUUGAUUGGUUUAAGGUUGGAGCAGAGGAGGAUGCUGUGAACUGCUUGCUCAGGAACCAAAAGGUUGGUGGAACCUGACGACUGGCGCUGCGCCUGGGUCAUGUGACAAAACCAGCCAAGCAGAUCGCUGGUCAGCAGUCACAUGAUGCUGAAAGAGGACUAGUUGACUGACUCAGAUGUUGAGAAGCGUGGUGGUGACUCUGCAACGGGGUUCAGUUUAUUAAUAGAUGGAAAACUGAACGCAGCAAAACAAAAUUUAUACCGACAGAUAUGUAUUCUAAAGUCAUCUAUUUGUGAGUGUGUGGUUGACGAAGUUUAAAUUAAAGCAGUUCUAAGAGUAGCCGUAAUUUUACAAAAUGAAAAAGUUUCAUGUUGGGAGCAGACAAAAUGCUGCUUUUGACAGUUGGGUCUAAUUUGGCACUGCCAAAUAUACGGCACAGAAAUUUGUGAGGCAAACAUUAUUGUGAAUCAUCACAAUGCUUUCUUCGGUUAUCAAUAGGUAACAUUUGUUCAUUUUUGGUUUACUUGUCACAGUAUGGGGAAAUCGGCCAUGUGUACAUACUGCAAA